GAGUGGCGGACGGGUGAGUAAUGUCUGGGAAACUGCCUGAUGGAGGGGGAUAACUACUGGAAACGGUAGCUAAUACCGCAUAACGUCGCAAGACCAAAGAGGGGGACCUUCGGGCCUCUUGCCAUCAGAUGUGCCCAGAUGGGAUUAGCUAGUAGGUGGGGUAAUGGCUCACCUAGGCGACGAUCCCUAGCUGGUCUGAGAGGAUGACCAGCCACACUGGAACUGAGACACGGUCCAGACUCCUACGGGAGGCAGCAGUGGGGAAUAUUGCACAAUGGGCGCAAGCCUGAUGCAGCCAUGCCGCGUGUAUGAAGAAGGCCUUCGGGUUGUAAAGUACUUUCAGCGGGGAGGAAGGUGUUGUGGUUAAUAACCACAGCAAUUGACGUUACCCGCAGAAGAAGCACCGGCUAACUCCGUGCCAGCAGCCGCGGUAAUACGGAGGGUGCAAGCGUUAAUCGGAAUUACUGGGCGUAAAGCGCACGCAGGCGGUCUGUCAAGUCGGAUGUGAAAUCCCCGGGCUCAACCUGGGAACUGCAUUCGAAACUGG
rnacentral:rRNA from 1 species